rnacentral:rRNA from 1 species
UAUGUGAUCGUCUCUCGCAUAUCAAUAAGCGGAGGAAAAGAAACUAACAAGGGUUCCCUUAGUAACGGCGAGCGAACCGGGAUAAGCCCACCAUGAGAAUCGGUCGCCCUCGGCGUUCGAAUUGUAGUCUGGAGAAGCGUCCUCAGCGGCGGACCGGGCCCAAGUCCCCUGGAAAGGGGCGCCGGAGAGGGUGAGAGCCCCGUUGUGCUCGGACCCUGUCGCACCACGAGGCGCUGUCGGCGAGUCGGGUUGUUUGGGAAUGCAGCCCCAAUCGGGCGGUAAAUUCCGUCCAAGGCUAAAUAUUGGCGAGAGACCGAUAGCGAACAAGUACCGUGAGGGAAAGAUGAAAAGAACUUUGAAAAGAGAGUUAAACAGUACGUGAAAUUGUCAAAAGGGAAGCGUUUGGCACCAGUGUUGUUUUUCUGAAAAUCAAUUAAAGAACUGUUUAUGCUAAGUUGUUUAGACUUUAUCAGCUAACUGUUUAGUUUUGAGCUUUUCUUUAAUGCACUUUUCAGUUAACAAGUCAACAUCAAUUUCUUUUGCUGUAAAAAAGCUUGAGGAAGGUGGCUAGAGAUUCGUCUUAAGUGUUUAUAGCCUCUUGCCUAUGCAGUCGGAGAGGUUGAGGUCUGCAGCGUAGAUCCUUCGGGGCUAAAUGCAUUUGUGCUAAGUUAUAGCAUUUUAUAGACAACUUGUUGACUAUGAUUUGUCUUGUAGCUUACUCGCUUAUGUUAUUUUACCUACGCUUAGGAUGUUGAGUCGUAGAGCACGCAG